rnacentral:rRNA from 1 species
ACCAGAAAGCCACGGCUAACUACGUGCCAGCAGCCGCGGUAAUACGUAGGUGGCAAGCGUUGUCCGGAUUUAUUGGGCGUAAAGCGAGCGCAGGCGGUUUUUUAGGUCUGAUGUGAAAGCCUUCGGCUUAACCGGAGAAGUGCAUCGGAAACCGGGAGACUUGAGUGCAGAAGAGGACAGUGGAACUCCAUGUGUAGCGGUGAAAUGCGUAGAUAUAUGGAAGAACACCAGUGGCGAAGGCGGCUGUCUGGUCUGUAACUGACGCUGAGGCUCGAAAGCAUGGGUAGCGAACAGGAUUAGAUACCCUGGUAGUCCAUGCCGUAAACGAUGAGUGCUAAGUGUUGGAGGGUUUCCGCCCUUCAGUGCUGCAGCUAACGCAUUAAGCACUCCGCCUGGGGAGUACGACCGCAAGGUUGAAACUCAAAGGAAUUGACGGGGGCCCGCACAAGCGGUGGAGCAUGUGGUUUAAUUCGAUGCUACGCGAAGAACCUUACCAGGUCUUGACAUCUUCUGCCAACCUAAGAGAUUAGGCGUUCCCUUCGGGGACAGAAUGACAGGUGGUGCAUGGUUGUCGUCAGCUCGUGUCGUGAGAUGUUGGGUUAAGUCCCGCAACGAGCGCAACCCUUAUUGUUAGUUGCCAGCAUUCAGUUGGGCACUCUAGCAAGACUGCCGGUGACAAACCGGAGGAAGGUGGGGAUGACGUCAAAUCAUCAUGCCCCUUAUGACCUGGGCUACACACGUGCUACAAUGGACGGUACAACGAGUCGCGAAACCGCGAGGUCAAGCUAAUCUCUUAAAGCCGUUCUCAGUUCGGAUUGUAGGCUGCAACUCGCCUACAUGAAGUUGGAAUCGCUAGUAAUCGUGGAUCAGCAUGCCACGGUGAAUACGUUCCCGGGCCUUGUACACACCGCCCGUCACACCAUGAGAGUUUGUAACACCCAAAGCCGGUGAGGUAACCUUCGGGGACCAGCCGUCUAAGGUGGGACAGAUGAUUAGGGUGAAGUCGUAACAAGGUAGCCGUAGGAGAACCUGCGGCUGGAUCACCUCCUUUCUAA